GAUGAACGCUGGCGGCGUGCUUAACACAUGCAAGUCGAGCGAGUGAGUUCUUCGGAACGAUCUAGCGGCGGACGGGUGAGUAAUACGUGGGCAACCUGCCUCAUAGAGGGGAAUAGCCUCCCGAAAGGGAGAAUAAUACCGCAUAAAAGUAUCGAGUGGCAUCACACGAUACUCAAAGGAGUAAUCCGCUAUGAGAUGGGCCCGCGGCGCAUUAGCGUGUUGGUGAGGUAACGGCUCACCAAGGCGACGAUGCGUAGCCGACGUGAGAGGAUGAUCGGCGACAUUGGGGCUGAGACACGGCCCAGACUCCUACGGGAGGCAGCAGUGGGGAAUAUUGCACAAUGGGGGAAACCCUGAUGCAGCAACGCCGCGUGAGUGAUGAAGGUCUUCGGAUUGUAAAGCUCUGUCUUUGGAGACGAUAAUGACGGUACCCAAGGAGGAAGCCACGGCUAACUACGUGCCAGCAGCCGCCGUAA
rnacentral:rRNA from 1 species